UACGCCUUCAUCCAUUGUUUCUCUGAAUCGUAGCGCCAUUAGUACAGCAGUUGCUGUAGUGUUCAGCAGUCUCAGUAAUCGCAGCUGUUGCAUUUUCCUACAAACGCACUUUAUGAAGCAGCAUGCAACUUUUGCGGCAUUAAGUAACGGGUUAGUAAAGCCGGCAUUAAUGUGCACGCGCCUGCUCGCUCCCGAGAACUUGUUUUCCUUUUAAAUAGUUAGUUAUCAUGUGAAGCAGAAGGAGUUUGUGAUUUACUGGGUGGACGAUCAUUGAGCUCGUGCAGCGAAUACACUUAGAAGUUUUCCCGUUUGCUUGAAGCUACUUUCUAAUGACAUUCAAGGUUACAUUCCUAUUCAUCAACAGUCAUGACGUUUCGGAAAUCAUUUUCAAAAUAGCCCUCCAGAGAUGUUCAUAAUGGAGUGUCUGUCUGCUGAAGGUCACCUGAACACCAUUGAAUGGUCAGAUAAAUGCUAUAGAAACCUUUUCAAAGCUGUUAUUUAGGCUAAUCAAGCAAAUGUUUUAGAUUUUGAUACAGUGUUAGGGUUCAAUUGUACAAACAUUACCAGUAAUCAGUCAUGCUUAAUGAAUGUGUGGGCUACUUGCCUAAACUUAUCAAGCAACAUAAAUUAGAAAUGUUUUAUUGCAGUGUAAGUAUUUUAGCAGUCUGGCAGAUCAGUUUUAUGAUUGAAAUAACAUGUAAUGACUUUUCAAUCUUUUCUGAUUAAAGUUGCCGUGUGUCAGUUAAAAAGCAAUAUUCAUGAAAGUGAUUUCUGAGGACAAGCUUUCCAACCCCAUCUGCUGCUUCUGCUAUUUACACAUUUACACACAUUUUACAUGCGUCUGAUCUGCAGUAUCCAGUUACAUUUCAUUAAUCGAUUGGCAGGAAGUGGCAGAACUUUUAAACCCUCUGAGACAACACAACUGAACUAAAUGGAUUUUAAAUCAAUAUAGCAUGAGGAAUUAUUAUUAUUUCAUAUUUGUUAGGGGCUAUGCAUAAUAAAACAAUAAUCUCACAAGAGAAGAGAUACUAGAUUUACUGGCUAAUUUCCAUGUGUAGUCCCUGGGCAGGUAAAUAAUGCAAUUAAAAUGAUAAAAAUACAUGUAGGUACACAGGGCCAGAUUUAUGCAUUCUAGGCACCUCUACGCUGACAUGCCCAAUUACAAUGAGAAGAAAUUAUAUUAUAGAAUAAUAAUUAUUAAAUUUCACUCUAAUACCAAAAAAAUGUACUCAUACACUCUCUGUAACGUGCUUGCAGGAAGGCAGAAGGUCCAGGUUCCAGUCAUUUAAUAUUAAUAUCCAACUCAGACAGACAGGCAGGUAGUGCAAACACUAAAACGCUGACCGGACAGAGUCCAGGAUAGGGAACAACUUAAGUACAGACACAGAUGAGGGUAAUAAAUCAAACAAAUCUGAAACAUAUAAACUAAUAAUCAUGGAGACAAAUGAGUGGUGGCAAUCAGAGCAAGACAAGCAACAAAUGAAAACAAACUGAAAGUCCUUUCAAACUGAAACAGAACUGAACGUGACACUCAAAUAUACAAUUAUUAAAAUACUAACAUUAUCCAAAUGAGGACUUAGACUUUUAAGUGGUGUUGUUUUUAAGUAUGAAAACAAGUCGUGUUGGUGAAUGUUUAAUAGCAUAGGAUAUGUCAGUCACAUGGCAGCUGUUAACUAAUCAUGUGACUUAACUAAUGAAUAAUAUAUUUUCACCUGUGGCAAGUUUGUUGUGUUACUCUUCCCGAGGAAGGUCUGUGCUGAAACAUGUAGGAGAGCUCUUUUUUUUUUUUUUACUUUUUUUAUGUAGCCAUGAGACAAGAAAGGCUUUUUAAUGGAAAAGAGUGUCAUGGUCAUGCAGUGUUUUGUUGAUGGACUGUGAACCCUAGACCUUUACUUCACAUUCCACUCGGGAUGCACUCUCUACUGCUGGACAUUGAUAGCAGAAGAAAAUAAUCAAUUGUAACAUUUGCUAAAUAAAUAUAUACUUCAUUCUAGAUUGUCAAAUCAAGCACUUAUAGUAUAUACUAGGAAAGAGGAAACAGGUUUUCAGCAUUUUACUCUGUAGGGGUGCUCAGAUCAGGAUUUUUAGGGCCAGUCCUCGAUCAAUGGAAGAUGUAUUGUCCGAUACUGAUCACAGGGUCUAUUUGAAGCCUUCUAUUUAUCAUGUAGCAUUAUUUAUUAAACUAUAUUUAACAACAAUGUAUAGUAAGUAUUAAAAUUAAGAGAUGAGAAUUUUAUUUUUUGGCAAGUAGCCAACUUAAACCAUAGAAGCCAAUGCUUGGUUAUUGGGAACAGCUUAAAGCUGGGCAAAUAUAACUUUCCUGUAGAAUAUUUUAAAUAGUCUUCAACUUAGCUUUAGGCUACUUCAGCUUUAGCCUUUCUUGUUGCAGUUUUUAGUCUUUAGACAAAAUAUUGUUUCAAGUCAGUCAGCCCUCAGUUUUUAUGAAAUACAUAAAGGUUGAAAGGUAAUAAAGUGCACACAAACAAACAAAAAAACACCAAACAAUAGGGGCUUUUGCACCAAAUAGUUCUAGGAAUUCAGUUAUAGGAACUAGCCACUAGGAACUGGGUCUAGGUCAUCACCAAGAACUAAUUUCACCCCGGGCCAUGCUCCUGGUUGUAUUUGCGCCGGAAUAGGAACUCUGAAGCUGCCUUUACAAAAGCUAAAAACUGGUGGAUGGAGAAUGUCGUUAUCCGAGCUGUGUUUGUUGUUUCUCGUGGGUUUCGUGAUAACAGAGAUGGAAUGUAAAUGCAUAAUUUAUGCAACAGAAAGAGCAAAAAGUGGGGCUAAGACACAAAAUCUCCUAUGACAUCUUUCAAUAUUACAUAUAUCAUUGAGGCGGAGAAAAGAACAACCCUGCAGACAACAGCUAAAUGCUGUUAUCACUGUUUUCCAUGUUCCUAUACUACUGGGUUAGACCCUUCUGAAGUAGGAGCUAAUUUAGUUCCCCAAAAAGAAGUUCCUAGAACUAAAAUCAUUCCUAGUUCCUGCGGCGUGAACAUGGCAAAAUCCGGAUACUUCCGCCAAUAGUUCUAGGAACUAUGAAAAGGUUCCUCUAGUAAGAAAUACUGUAUUAUUUGAUGCAUUUCAUAGGUUAUGCUUGGCUCUUGUGUUGAUUAGUCAUAGCCUAGCUUACUUCAGAAACUGAGGGAGAACACAGGGAAAAUACAUGGAGCAAACAAAGGAGCUUAAUGAGAUAAUUAACAGGACACAGGUGAAUGAAAUGCCAUAUUAAACAGACUGGGGAAAACUAGGUCACAGGGAAACACAAGACAGCCAGACCAUAACAUAACUCUUCCAAAUGCUUAUUUUUACAGAAAAUUUAACCAAAUUCAAAAGAAAUGCAAGCCAGCCUAUUGCCUACACAAAGGAAUAUCACAGUAACACUGCAUUCAUUUCAGCAAUAGCUCCUUUUAUCAAUAAUUUAGGCCAAGAUACAUAUUCUUACAAUAUGAAUUAAGGAGCUUACUAGAAAAGUCAAAAAUGUAGAUGUUCCAAUUUAUAAGAAUUCUGAAUUGAAACAUUUUCAUUCAAUACUCAUUUGCCUGUUCUCUUUUCUGCUCUUUAAUUCGCUCUUACAGCUCAACAUGGACAUGUGACUCCACAUGUCACUUGUGAAACAGAUUGAUGUUAUGUUGUCCUUCAUAAGGCUGUCGACAUGUGUAAACACUGUUUGUGUAACUGCGGCACGCACAUCAGUGGAAUAUUUACGCCCUGGCAGAGUGUAACAUGAAUCCAAGUAGGACACGAGUCUCCGGACCCUUUGUCUUCCACGACAGACAACGGCUGGUGAUUAAGGCAUAUGAAUUCCAUUAUUUUGUCUGAUUUCUCUUCAUGCUUCUUGCAGUAGGGUUGCUGUCUUUGAAACAUCUCGUGAGUUGCUGAACCGUCCCGUUCUCUCUUAGCACCAACUAACUCAAAUUUCUUUACGUGACUAACCUUCAAAUGUCUGAUGAGGCUGGUGGUGUUAAAAUGUUUUGGGUGCUUUCCGCCUCAUGGGAUUUCCUUGGUACACACAUUGCAAAUUGCUAAUUUAAUGUCUUUUUCACAUACCUUGUAGAACUCUUUUGUCUUUUUUGUCUUGAGCUCUGGAAGCUUCAGCUGCUCUUGUGCUUCUUCCAGCUGUAGGGAAAAAAAAAAAAAACCUUUACCUUCUUUUCUUGCAAACUCCAUAGCUAUUGGUUACUGAAAUCUAAAAUAAAUAUUGUCACUGGCAUUAAGGAGUUCAUUUGUAAUAAUAAAUAAUAAGUACACAUUACAGUAGGAACACUGAACAAAGUAAAAAUGUGCGAUUGGUAUACAAUGUAAAUUGCUUUAUUAUAUUUAAAUGUUUUGUAUAUGAAAUGUAUAUGAACAUGAAUCAGUAUUAGGGCUGCACGAUUAAUCGUAUUUUAAUCGCGAUAACGAUAUCUGUCUCCCACAAUUAAUUACCCAUAAUCGUUGCGAUAUCAAUGUGUAAAUACCAAGCACAAAACAAACAUUGUUGUAAGGUUGCAAAUUGUUUGUUUUACUUAUGAGUUGAGAGUACGGAUGAUAAACUGCAUCACAUGUCUCACGUUACUGUGUUUAGACUUCAAGCGUGCUUUCAUGGCGUAGCAGAAGAUGGUGUCAGGCGAUAAGCUUACAGUCAUUCAGCUUAAACAAACAUAAUGGCAGAGCAACAAGAGGAAGGUGAAGAAGUGUGUUCAUUAGUUCCCAAAAAGGGGUCAUACUCCAUUGUUUGGAAGUAUUUCGGGUUCAGUGAAAGUGAUGUUGAUCAGGUACAAGUCCUAUGCAAACUGUGCUCCUGUGCCGUACAAACGUCAACUAACACAACUAACCUCAUCAACCACAUUAAAAGCCACCAUAAAGUACAAUAUCGAGAAUUUCAAAGGUUGAAGGCACAAAAAGCUGCAACAACGGGCCUCGAAGCAAUUUCUGCAUGGGGUUUGCUUGAGACUCAUCUGCAUUACAACGGACAACGCAGCUAAUAUGAUCAGGGCUGCAUCUCUGAAUAACUGGACGAGACUACAUUGCUUUGGACAAAGACUUCAUUUAGCUAUUGAGAAUGCUAUGAAGGAUCCAAGAAUUGACCGGGCUGUGGGCCUCUGCAAAAAGCUGGUGAUCACCUUUUCCUACAGCUGGAAGCAUUAGUCUGGUGAGAAGUACAUCAGUGUGUCAUUUGUAAAGCCAGUUCUUCAUCUUUUCAACUGGUCAGUCUUGAAAGUUAAGGAUGAUGAUACUGACCUGUCAAGACCAAUAAAAUCUAGAAUCUUGGAGUACCUAAAUGAAAAAUACAGUGACCCACAAAUCCAGGCUCUGUUGGACAUGGCAUCUACUGUAGAUCCACGUUUUAAGAUGAGUUACACAGCUGAAGACAACAAAACAUUAAUACAAACCAGACUGCAAUCUGAGAUAAAGACUGUGGCAGUGAUGAUGCCUCCCCCAGAACCACCAGAAGAAAACAGGAGGAUGCUGAAGCUGGAUGCGCUCCAAAGAAAAAGAUGAUGUUAGGAAGCUACUUCAAAACUGCUGAACAACCAGGACCUAAGUGUAGAUUGUGAGUUGCAGACUUACUUACAGUCAUGCAACCUGGAUAGAGAGGGGAACCCACUAAAAUGGUGGAAGGAAAAUGAAAAGUUCUACCUAAGGCUUUCAAAAGUGGCAAAAAAAUACUUGUGUAUACCAGCCACAAGUUCUCCUUCAGAGAGAGCUUUUAGUGCCGGGGGGAAUGUUGUUACUUGCUUGCGGUCCUCCCUAAAGCCAGAUCAUGUUGACAGACUUGUGUUUCUAGCCAAAAACCUGUAACAUGUAUGCACAAAUACAUACAUGUAGGCCUAUUGUAGGAUAGAAAAAAAAACCCUGAAUAAUUAGUUUUUCACAUUGGAGUUUUCACAAAAUAAUCAUGAUUAUAAUUUUUUCUUGAAAUUGUGCAUCCCUAAUCAAUAUGUUCUCUUUCAACUAGAAGAAAAAUAGGGAGUUAAGUAAUGCUUAAACUGAGCUGAAACUAUCUCAUCAGAAACUCAUCACCUAGUCCCAACAUGAUGGGGUUCCAGACUCGACAUGAUUGACCAGGAAAAGGCCAUUUCUCAGGUCCUGAGGGCAGACAGGAAGACGAGGCAUUUGUUCCCAAGACAUUGACAUGAUGGAGUCUGUGGAAGAGGCACUGAGUCUGCUGAAAGACUUGACUGAUGCACUCUCGAGUGAGGACUAUGUGAGUGUGUCUUCAUAGCCAAUGCUUUACCUAUUGAAAGUCAACAUCUUUAGCCUGAAUGAUGACGACACUGAAGUAAGAAAAACAAUGAAGACAACCAUUCUCGAUUACCUCACUGCCACAUAUCAGGAUCCCAUCACUGAUGACCUGCUGGAUAUGGCUUCGCUUGUUGAUCCCAGGUUCAAAACCCAGUACAUUGAUGGCGACAAGAUAGAGGAAAUACAAGCCAAAGUUAUGUCUGAGAUGGAGUGUUUGCUGACAAAACAGUAUCCAGCAGCGUCGGAUCAGCAGCCUACAUCUACUGCCAGAGCCCUGAUGCAGAACAAACACCACCCAAGAAAGCAAAGAAAACACUUGUUGGCUUUUUGCAAACCCCAGGUGCUGUAAGUGCAUCUGUUCCUCAUUUCUGAAAGAGACGAUAGAAGGGGAAUUUAAGGCCUACCUGUCCACACCGAAUGCAGAAAUUGAGGUGGAUCCUCUGGAAUGGUGGAAAGUCCACGAGGCAAACUUUCCAAGAGUUAGCCAACUUGCUAGAAAGUACGUGUGCAUUUCAGCAGGAAGAGCCUUCAGCACUGGUGUCAAUAUUGUCACCUGACAGAGGGCAACUCUCAAUCCAGGUAAACCCAAUCAACUGCUUUUCCUGGCUAAAAAAUUGUGAUCGUGAUCAGCCAUACUUUGCAUUCUCUUAGAAGGAGAUAUAAGUUUUAGGAAAGUGAAAGGUAUAUUCUAAAGCUGCUUAGUUUACAAGAGUCUAAAUGUUUUUGCACUUUUGGUUGAUUGAUUUGGCUCUGAAUCACAUUGCACUUAAAAAAAAAAAAAAAAAAAAAAAAAAAUCAUCUAAGAGAUUUCAAAAGAUGGUUUACAUUUUGUAUUUGACUUUUUAGUAGGCUGUUUAAUAGUGUUGUGUUUUUAUCUUUUUAAAGUAAAUGUUUAUUUUGGGAGUUAUGCUAAAGUCUCUGAAUGUACUUACAUUUAUUUAACUAUUAAAUGUCAAUUCUUUGCAGAACUGCAUUUCAAGAUGGCAAAAACAACAUUGCAUUACACUUGCAAGAGUUAAACAUUUUUAUUUAUCCUUUUAAAAAUAAGCAUUUUACAUUUUUUAACCUGUUUUUGCUGCAUCUGUUUGUUUAUUCUAUACUCAAAAUAGAAAGGGAAAAGAAAAUGCUGACGGGUUUAGCUGAGGAUCUGUGUCUAAUAAGCUAUCUGACUGUUACAGCUGUUGCCAAUGUUAGAAAUUCUUGAAACCAAUGUUCAUUUUGUGAUGGGAAGUCUUUGAUUGUAAUUGAAUGCAAGUCUUGUUGAAUGUUCUUACUUUACAGAAUUGCACUUGCAUUAAAUCUACACUUGAAUAAAAUAUGCUCAAAAAUGUACUGUGGUCUGUCAUUUCUUUUUCCUUUUUUUUUUUACCUUGUAGGGUUAUAUUUUUCAAAUAGGGACAUUCGUUUGGCUGUAUUGUGGCUCAGUAAUUUACAAAAAUAUUCAAAUGUUUGUAAAAAUUUCUAAAUAGUAGAUUUACAAAAUCAUCAUUAUAGAGAAUUAAUGAUAAUCUCUGUUUUCCAUUUGGCAAAAGAGGAAUCUCUUGAUAGUAAGAACCAUUUUGAUAAGAUGAAUAUUUUCUAGGUUGUCAUGUGGUGCUGUGAAUUUUAUCUAAAACAUUGUUUUCUUCAGCUACUCUUGCAAGAAAUAAAGGAUAGGUUAUGCAUACGUAAAUGUUUUGCUGUUUCAAUGUAUUUGGCAGGCUUUAUAAAUGGAUAUGUCUUCAAAAUAUGAUUUUCUCCAUUUGGUGGUUGACAAAUGUGCUUCAUGUGUGAUUGAUUGGUGAAGAACAUUGCAUUCAGAUACUGACAGAACAAUCUCUCUGACAACACUAUCACUAAAAGUGCAGUUGUACUUCUAUAAAAUCCUGACAGCUUCUAUAACAAGCGGUUCAGACAGUAAAAAUGGGGCAGUGUUUGCAUUUUCAAAAAUAAAUUAGCCAAAUUGUACUGCAGUUGGUGUUGUAGUGCAUUAGCGCUGUGACUAACUUUCCUUCACAGGUUUUUCAAAAUUCAGUGUCGCUAUCCUGGAAAUCAUAGUCACUCCUUACUGCAACUUAUGGAUUGUAGUCUGAUGCACUCUGCUGAUAUCUGCAUUUGUGAGCAUUAACUGUCGAGUAUAUGCUUUAAAUGUGCAGUCUAUAUAAGGAUAAAUGAAUGUCAAAUGUCCUCUUAGAUGAAGAAACAUACCACUCUCAGAAAACAGAUCAGUGAAAAGCAGAAACAUCUGCCACCUCCUGACAACAAUUAGCUCUUCACUUGAAUGAAACCUUGUGAAGUGAAUCUUCAGGGAAUUCAGUGUUAGAUGUGUACACACACGUGCCAUUUAAACACGAAAGAACAGAAACUGUAGAGUACGGGCUAUGUUUGAGUCAAUAAUGUGCAAGUAAAUUAAACUAACUGGAGUCCAGUUAGUCCAGUUAAAUUUCUGAAGUAGAAAUGUGUGCCAUAAAACUUAAUUUUACUGGUAUGAUUAGUGCCUUAAUUGUGUUUGCUUUUUAAACAAAUAAAAACCAGUUGGAAGACUGUGUAAAAAAACAAUAAUAAUGCCAUAAAGUCAGAAGCAUAUAAAAUCAUUAUCUUUCAUGACACAAACAAAGCAGCUCUCUUCUACUAUAUUCUAAACCAGGCAUGUCAAAUUCAGGGUACGUUUACAUGACAAUGAUGCACUGAAAACUGAAAGUUUUUCCUUUGAGUUUUUGAGAAGUUUUGCAUAAAGACAACAGUGUUGUCAAAAGAUCCCUUUGACGGAUCCACGGAAACGACUAAAAACGCAGUAUUAUUCAUGCCAGGCCAGCAGUUGGCGAUGUCACUUGUAAAGAAACAUUACGUGCCUUUAGACUGAAAACGUGCGAUAAUAGUAUCAUUUUCAAAAAUGUGCACUUUGAACCCUGUUUCCAAAACGUUGUUGUGUAAAUGAAUGGCCAAAAUGCAUACAAAGUUUUGUUAAAAAACGGUGUCAUGUAAACGGCCCCUUAGUUCAUGGAGUGUAAUGGAGGGACCAGAUAAUCAAGGUCUUCAGGAUUAGUAGAAGCUUCCAGGCAGGUGUUUUGGAGCUGGUUGAAGCUCCACUCUGCAAGACAAUGGCCCUCCAGGUCCGAGUUUGACAUGUUUAGGGGGUAUAUGCGACCUCCCUGAAAUGGAGUUUUGCAGGGUGGGAUGUCUGUAACAAACUAACUGUUUGAACACGUCCCACUGAUGAUUAAUUUUAAUGAGAUGAGAGUGACCAUUAAGAGUGGUGACCAGUUUCAUGGGCAGGUCAAGAGAGAGAAUGCAUUGGCUUUUCCUGCCAUUCAAAUUUAAACUCAACACCCUUUUCUGUACCAUGAGAUUACAACAACCUGAAAUACAAUAAUAAAUCAAUGAAUAAAUAAAUAAAUAAAUAAAUAAAUAAAUAGUAUUUGUGUAUGACAAAAUAAUUUCAUGAAUAAAUAAUAUGAAUGGGCAGUUCAGUUUUCACACAAAAAUGCAUUAUGCACACUCCCUUCACACUUACUUUUAAAUAGGAGAAGAAAAAAAAAAACACUUCAGUCCACAAAUAGCAAUCAAACUGACUUGUAAUUAUUACUAAAACAAAUGUAUGAGUUGGAUCAACUUAAUUUAAGAGACUAAACUACUUAAGUAAUUUUUAGAAUUGUGUCUGGUAUGUUGUUUCUAGAAUCAUUUCACCAUUCA